rnacentral:lncRNA from 1 species
UGUCUGCAGUCCCCACGCUCUCCAAAAUCAAUCUCGGAGAGCAAGGCAGUGUUUUGCUGAGAUUAAGCAGAUUUGCAAAUUAGGAAGAUUAAAUGGAAAUGUAAUGAAAUGAAAAUUAAAUGUCCUUCUAUUUUUUUAUUAUUAUUUUUUAUUUUUAUUAUUUUUUUGAGAGAGACAGAGACAGAGACAGAGAGGAAGGAAGGAAAAAAAAAGGAAAAAUCGCCCUUUCCUGGGAGGUGUCUUUUGAGUGAUCCCCCAAAACGCCUUUCCCGGAGCAGCUCCCUGUCAAACUACACGCGCUCCCGUCCGGAGGGACUGAAAAGUGAUUCAAACUCUCCGGGAAGCACAGACAUUUUUAAUUCCAUCUGAUGCAGCAGCUCGGAAAGCAGCGAGAUCAGCCACCGGGGCUGCAAAGGAGGCUCUCUGCCUCCUCAAAUCCCCCAAAAGCAGAGCGGUUUUACUCAUCAAGGAAACAGCCGAGAAAAAGAAGGAUCGGAGGCACUCACCAGAGCGUAGACCGAGCUCAGCACGGAGCAGCAGAGGAUCAAACCCAGGCUGUGAUAAACCAGAUAUGAUCCCAUAUCCAAGGGGCUCCUUCCAGCAUCCACGCUCUCUCGGGGAAGUUGGAGGACGGAGAGGUCUUCCAGCGCUCCGCUUGCAGAUGAUUUCUCCUUCCCUCCCUCCAACCUCCCCCCCCCUCCACCUCACUCUCCAGAACCGGUGUUUGUUUGUUUGUCUGUUUGUUUGUUUGUUUGUUUUAGCCGGAAAGGCACAUGACGAGAAAGCCCGGUCCUUUGCUUCGCUUUCUCAUGGCUGGAGAUGCGGGCAGCUCCCGAAAGGCAGCGGAGGAGCCCAUGCGAAGAAGCGGAGCGACUUCGGCUUCGCUCAGCGCCGCAGCCCCCGGUGCUGGUUGUUUUCCGCGUGCAUCUGUCUCAGAGCAGAAAAAUCACAUCCAUAUGUCAAAGCCGCGCUCUUCUGUUUCCUUUUUAUGAGGCAGUGGGAAGUUCAAAUAAUUUCUUUGUCAAACGCAAACACACAGAAAGAGGCAGAGAGGGAGGGAGGGAGGGAGAAAGGCGAGAGAGGGGUGGAAGGGGUGGGAGAUCGGAGAGGGUGGGGGAGGCUUUAAACCACGGCUUUAUUUUUAGAUCCAGUAAUUUUAUCUUUUGGGUUUCGGAGGGGUUUGGAAAGAAAGAGAGAGAGGGAAAAAAAAAAAAAAAAGCCUUUUUUUUUCUUUUAAUUCUUUUUCUCCACUUUCGCCACACGAACGGCUCUCAGAGCAGAAAGUUACGGGGAAAAAAAAUAGCGAAAACUUGGAGAUAUUUUCCCUCCUCAUUUACUUUUUCUUCGCAAACAGCGGUGCUUUUGGGGGGGACCUUUUCCUCCUUUUUUUUUUUUUUUUUUUCCUUGCUGGUGUAUCGCCGCGCGUUUCGCCUCCACAAUAGGUUUAUUCUCCAGCCCUCCGGGUCGAAGUGUGUUUCAGUUACAAAUCGGGAUUUUUUCGCUCCUCUCUCCCCUCUCUGCCUCAGAGGAUCUGCAGUUUCAAAAAGCCGAUUGAACACGGCGUGAAAGCGUGAGGCUGACGACUCCCCCGCCUCCUACCGCCACUCUCUCUAGUCCUCGUUCCGUGCCCCGCAAGGAGGAGCCCCCCGCGGAACCCCUGGCGCAUCGCAUCCCCGCUUUCCCCCCCUCAUGUCCCCAGCACCUCGCACCCCUCGUGGAUGUCACCAGCAUCGCAGUUUCAAGGCUGGGGAUGGUGCUCCCAGCUCAGCCGGGCGCUUUCAUUCAUAAAAUGGCAAGAUUGUAUCCAUGAAUGUGUGUAUAAUGAACCCAGAAGGAAUGCAGCACUAAAAGAAGCCUUUGUAAUGUUGCUAUUUUAAGGAGACCCUUGGGUAUGGCACGUGUUGAACUGAGUUUCUCCAACAUCUUACAACAAACCAAAAUGUUUAGAUCCUCCUACUGAUGUAAGACAGCAUAAAAAAAAUACAUAAUCAAUCUAAACUGGCUAAGGUUUUGACCAGGAAUUAUUGCUCCUGUGAAUUGGCUCUGUAUUGUAGCUAACUUUUACACAGCCUAAUAAUAAACAUCUCCUCCUCCCAGCUGGGUGAAUGUUUCCCCUCUGCUGGAGAUCAGGUCCCAGUCUGGAUAAAACACCUCUUGUCCUUUCUCUCCUCGGUCACUCAGGUUCAGUGAAACAUCAUGACUUACAUCAGCCAAAGCCUUUGAUCAGGGAGGGAAAGGUCUGACAUGGAUGGGGUUGGCAGCCACGCUGCAAGAAUCCCUCAUUGUGCAAGAAGCCAGUCCAAUGACCGACUGUCACCAAGGGUGAGACAGCCUUUUCUGCUCUGUUUGCUCUGUUUUCACUUGGCUAUUGCUGGCGUUUUGUUUGCAAAAUCAAGGCCAAAAUAUACAAGAAGCAGCUUCGAACAUGUUGGGUUUGUGCAUUAAGCCAGAUAGCCAUCAUGAAUUUCUGGCCAUUUUUGUUGUAUGUGUUGUAAAGAGCAGAAUUUUGCUGUCAGCAUUUUGUUUUCACAUGGUCAGAGAGGAGAAGGAGUAUAAUAGAGGUCCAAUUGACACUGUUUACACAAAGAUGAAGUCGUAACUCUUGGCUGAGAUGACUGUGGAAGUGGUGUGUGAUGGCUUCUUUGUUGGCUCUUUAAGAAAACAUCUGCUCUGGAUCUCGUGGACAAAAUCUAGGGUGAAAAAUUCUCUCAUUGCAAAAUGAGAAGCCGGAUGAAAAGCCCAGAGAAGCUGUGGGUGCUCCAUCUCUGGAGGUGCUCAAGGCCAGGUUGGAUGGGGCCCUGGGCUGCCUGAUCUGGAAGGUGGUAAUCCUGCCCAUGGCCCCGGGUUGGGGCUGGAUGACCUUUGAGGAUGUUUCCAGCCUAGGCCGUUCUAUGAUUCUAUGAGUUUCUCCAAUAGCAUCCAGCACUCAAGGAACAGGGCUGCUUUGGAAAUGUAUGUCAGAAUAAGAAAAAUACAUUUUUUGUACUCACACAUUGAACAGCGAAUGAAUGCUCAAGAAGAAUGAGGGUGAGAAUUGAAUCCAUUAAAACACUUUCUGGGACAAUAUUUUUGCUUUCAGCAGCUUUCUCUUCUGCUUUGCUUCAAUUCCUUCUAAACUCUGCUCCCCUUCCUCCAGGUGGUAUGAAAUAAAAAACAGUAAUAAAUAGAUUUUUCUAUAUAGGAAAAAAAUCAAAAACAAAUAAAAAUAUAUUUUUAAAAAUUUAGAUUUCUCUGUAAAGACUCUUCAUUAAGUACACAGAAAUGCUUGUGAUAUGUGGCCAUAGAUGGGCUGUACGCCUCUUCUAAUGCCCUGCAGUAUGGUUUACAAGGUGACUCAGUAACUGGGGCGAAGUCAUCGUGGUGGGUUUGGGUGCCCUACAUGAGAAGACGCAGAAAAUGUGUCAGAAAAAGGAUCACAGACCUGAAAAUGGUUUGGGAGAAGAGAGAGAUGAGGCGUGUGGAGUUGAGGUCUUGGGUUAAGGCAACAAAGGAGUGUUGGAGGUGACAGAUGAACCCAAAGGCAUUUUGCAUCUUAAGCAGGCCAGAUGGGUUAGCAAAGUCACCAGUAGAACACAAUUGUCAGUGGCUCCAUACAGUGACCUUUAGCUGAAACAAAGCUAUACAAAAGGAGCUCAGGGCAUGCAAGUAGGUGAAGGAAAAUCCUCAUCAGCAAUAGGCUUGGCAUCCAUUUGGUUGUGUUUUCAUGCAGACAAGGUGGGGCAGACAGGCUCUACACAGCAACACGUGCUCUUGCCUUAUCCCAUCUCUGUUGUUCUCCUUGCUGUAGGCUGAUGCUUUGGACCCAGAAAGACACAAGUGGGAUGGAGAUCAGAGCCCUGGGCUUUUCCCCGCAGACCAGCAACUGGUGCCAUUUCUGGCUGAUUCUCUACUUUUCUCUUCCUAGUGAGGGUCUUUUGUUAUUUAUCAGCUCCUUUCAAAGCAACAGCCUGAGAGAUUUCACAAUACUUUUCACAUAUGGUUACUCAGCCUGGGGCUCUCCACAGCUUAGCUGUUUCAGUGAUAUUUGCACAGCACUGAGCAACAGCAUUCCUGACCUGCAGGAGAAGUGAGUGCCUCAAACCUCCUUUUCUCCAUAUACACAAGAUCUUUUUUUGCUCUUAAAAAACCCCAGACCCCUCUCCCCAUCCCUGCCAGUUGCACGGCAGACUGGAUGUCCCUGGCAGCACACUUGGGCUUGCAUCCAUUUUUCUUCUUUGUGUGUGUGUGCGUUGUCAUCCAAUGCAUGGCCAGAACCAAAGGAAAACUCAUGUGUGUGUUGUCAUCCAAUGCAUGGCCAGAACCAAAGGCAAACUCCAUUUGGGAGGUGAGCAAGGAAAACCCCUCCAAAACAGCCAGGAGCUGAAAAGAUUUGGCAAGCUUUGCAGGAGAAAACUGCCAGCAGGGAAAGACGAGGUGGAGGCAUUACUCUGACAGAAGAAGCUCUGAUUAGCAGAUUAUCACUUAAGUGAUGUUGAUCCCAGCCACGCUGCCUUCCAAAUGAGCCCUUUCACAGCUGCCAGCUGCACCACGGAGUCGUGAAUGUAAAUGAGUGGGCCAGAUCCUCUGCUGGCAUCCAUCGACGUGGCUUUGAUGGACCAUCCUGGAUCUACAACAGCCGGAGGAGUGUGGCUGUCGUGGGAGCCUGACUUGCUAUGCAGAUUUCUUUGAGAGCCUGUGGGAAAGGGCCUGAAGCUGGAUGUACUGCAGGAUAGGGCAGCAUCAACUGCACAGCUGGAGGGACCCUUGAGACUUUGACUUUUGCUGCCAAACAAAGCCAUCUUUUUGCUGAGCUUGUAAACUGUUCCCUGGUACCGUACGCCAGCAUAUAGCAUCCUGCCCUCAUAAAGCUCUACUUAUCUCCAUCCAACUUCUUGGGCUGAGCGUGUGGGAAGCAUGUGAGGGACACUCAUGAGCAGCCUUGCAUUCUCCGAGCUGUGCUUUCCCCUGGGGGUGAGCAUUCCCCUAAGUGCACAGUCCAUUUCAGCUCUGAUAAGUCUUCAGAGGUGAUGGCCUGGAACCUGCAGAGCUGGUGGUGAGGUGGGAACAAGCUCUCUUUGUGAGGCUGCACCAGCUUGCUGGGUGUGCUGGGUGCACUGAAUGAAAUCUUUCAUUUGGUUCCUCAGAGAGUCUAGGAAGAUCCUCAGCUUUUGUCCUGAAUGGGAUUGUAGCCCAGUCCAGGGAAAGAUCACAAAUACCAAGGCUUAGGUUAUUGGAUUGAAUCUUGCUUUGUUAGUGCAACCAUGCUGUGGACUUGGACUUUCAGCCAAGGAAAGAGAGUGCUGCAGAGGCGUGAUCGAAAAGAGGAGGUGGAUCUGUAAAAAUGAUGAUGAGAGUAAUGGGGAAUGGUUAUUGGGUGCCUCUCCUAGUAAAGACAUUGGGAACACAAGACUGAAAUUUUUGGGACAGAAGGCAUACUUGACCUCUGGCCACGUCCAUCCAAUCUGACAGACUGGUCUUCGGAGAAUGGUGACCAAGAAUAAGCUCCAUGUCCCACAUGCCACCUGUUCAUCUGCACCGCUCCCUCUCCAGCAGCUCAUGGGCCAUGCCCAGCCUAUGUGUGACACCUCUCUGGCUGCUCAGAUGGAAAGUAAGAGCUUGGAGAGUGAGGACAGCAUGGAGUUAUGGAAGACAUGGCUACAAGAGCAUUCUUUCUCCAUCUCCAUGUGCUUCUGAAGGACCAGUCUGAUUCUGGCUCCUGCCAAGUUAGGAUAUGCUAUGAUUCUGUGAACACUUUUUGCAGCAAGUCAGCCAUAAGAAACAACAUACUCUCAGACAAUCAAGCCUCCAAAUUAAGGUGGGGAGACUUGUUGUGAAGGAGAUGGUUUUUUUUUUCCUACUGUAGAAGGGAUGUUCAAUGCUAUAGUGACAAGGAACAAUUCUUCAGCCUUAGACAGCAGAAAGAAGAAACAUAAAGAGACUGUACAGUUCUUGGGACACCGAGACAACUAUCUACGUGCUUUGUGGAAGCAGAGACAAGUAUGAGAUUUGGCUUUCUGGGCUAUGAGGGCACACAGCUGGCUCACAUCCAGCUCCCAUCCACCAUUUAGAUAAGAUACUAUUGCUUUUAAUAAAGACAAGUCAAAGAUCUUCUCCUAAGUGCUCUUAAAGAACUCCAGCAUUGUGUCUACAAUAAUCCAUCCGCCUUAAAGGAUCCAGCAGUACAUCACCACCAGUGGAUAUAAGAAGUAAUUAGUCAUCAUUUAGGGAAGUAAGAUUUAACAGUUAUUUUGUUGGCAGAAGUGCCGUGAUAAAAAUGGUACUCUGAAAGUUAUUUGGUAUUUCUCAUUGUUGCCAGAGUUCUGAACAUUUUGAUAGGAUGAACAUAGACUUCGGUAGGAAAGUUGUGGAUUUUUUCCCCUCCAUUUAGUAGAAAUAUAAAUGUUACAAAAUAAAUAAUGAUAGAAUAUAUGUGUAUAUAUUUUCAAUGCAUAUUUUAAAAUGCAUAUGAAAUGCAUUUUUUAAAAUAUUUUGUUCAAAUAUUUUUACUAAUGUUGUAUACCUUGCAUCUGUGAAGAGGGUUAUCCCUUAAACAUCCUUUCUUCAGACAGUACUGGGAUUCAUCCUCAGGCCCCGUUAUCUUGCUCUACGUUUCCUAGAGUCCAUCUAUAUAAUAAAUCAGAAUACUGCAUGGUUACACAUCGUAAUUAUUUUUUAAAAUUAUUUUUUAUUUUUUUGCUGAUUGGGGAAAUGGUGAAAACUGGUUUUUGCAUAUUUCAACAAUGUUACUCAGCCAAGUAAAAGAACAAGGGAGCAGAAUGGAAGAGAAAUGAAGAAAUGGAAGGAAGGAAGGAAGGAAGGAAGGAAGGAAGGAAGGAAGGAAGGAAGGAAGGAAGGAGGGAAGGAGGGAAGGAGGGAAGGAAGGAA